UCGGCUAAUCCUCUCCAUUCCCCUUUUCUGCGCCCAGAUGUGAACUUCUGGUGAUAUGGAACUGGAAGAGACUGGGUUAUUCAUUAGGGCUUAGCUCGAGGAUCGUGAAAGAUUGUUCCGACUUCUGGCCAGCUAGUUUGGGGUCUUCUUUCUUCAGUCAAUUGAGGUGCUUCACUUGGGAGGGAUACCAACACAACCAAUGAGAAGGCGAACACAAAAUUGGAUAGUAUAUUCAGUCUGAAGGAAAGCCAUUCCAUUGCAGAUACGUUGUGAAACCACGGCCUUGAAUGGCUGUCUAUAAGACAGAGGUUUGCAU